AAAGAGGUUUGUUUUCUCAUGAACCUACAGUAUGGACAGUUAUUGAUGUGUUCUCCUCACAGGGGAACUGCAGAAACCAGACAUUAGUGUCAAUGACGAAUCUUCUCAUGACAUCACCAUUAUUUGUGUACUUCCUGAGUCUGUCAGUGAUGGUCAUAGCUGUAACCUGUACACUGGAGACCAGACUCAGGCCUACAAAGAGGCUUGGGUCAGGACAUUUAACACAGCAUUAUCCAAACUAUUCUGUACCUUCAAUGUUACCAAGAAUGAUCUGUUCAGGCAUCUGCAGUUGGAGAGAGAUGUGAGCUGUGACUAUAGAGUGAACACAGGAUCACACUCUCUGUCUCCCCGCAGUGAUAAAUACAUUAUUAUAGGUCAGAAACCAAAUAUUACAGUCAGUCUGAAAGAGAACUUCAUCAUCACCUGUUUAAUUCCUGGCUCUGUCAGUUAUGACACCACCUGUAACCUGUAUGUUGGAGAGCAGAGUAAGCAUCUUAUAAAAGCACACAUCUGGAAGACGAAACACACAGAUUCCAAAUGCUGGUUCUGUCAAUUCUCUGUGGAGGAGAAUGAUCUUUUUAGAAGUCUACAGUCAGUGAGGAGUAGGGAGGUGAGCUGUGAUUACAGAGUGAGCUCAGGACCAAACUCUCUCUCUCCACGCAGUGAUGGGUACAACUUUACAGUGGGUAUGACUCCAGGUCCUAGAUCUACUUUGCCUCCCAGCAAGACAGUGAGUCCUACAGAAGGUGUGUUGGGCCUCUAAAUGACCAUCUCUGCAAAUACAAAUUGUACAGUCAAUGGUUUAGAAUAUGGGCCUGUAAAAUUAAGAGACCAACAUUAUGUAAUACCUUAUUCUUGUGUAAUCAUAUUGCUUCCCACUGGUUUCAACUGUUACUUCUACUUUGACCCCAGACACCACAGUGACAGCAACUUCCAGUUUGACCUCUCCUUUGACCUCCAGUACAGCAGUGAAUCCUACAUCAGCAGUUUCGACUGUUACUUCUACUUUGACCCCUGACAUCACAGUGAGACCAACUAGU